CGGGGUGAGUAAUGUAUGGGGAUCUGCCUGAUGGCGGGGGAUAACUACUGGAAACGGUAGCUAAUACCGCAUAAUGUCUGCGGACCAAAGCGGGGGACCUCCGGGCCUCGCGCCAUCAGAUGAACCCAUAUGGGAUUAGCUAGUAGGUGAGGUAACGGCUUACCUAGGCGACGAUCCCUAGCUGGUCUGGGAGGAUGAUCAGCCACACUGGGACUGAGACACGGCCCAG
rnacentral:rRNA from 1 species